UGUUUUUUCUGGCUUGGGAGGUCUGGUCACCGUGCAGUGUAACAUGUGGGAGAGGAUCAAGGGUGAGAUCUAGAGCCUGUAUUCCACCAAAGUACGGGGGUCUCAACUGUACCGGAUCGUUGUUUGAAAUAAAUGACUGUAUUCAAGUUCCACGUCAAAUCAACGGAGAGUGGCCAUGCCGGCAAAAUUCAUCUGCGUGUAGUGUCACGUGUGGCGGAGGAGUAAAAACAAGGACUCGAACCUGUAGCCACCCGACUCCAGCCAAUGGCGGCCUCCAGUGUCGGGGGGAAUCACACAUGAGUGAACACUGCAAUGAAAACCCAUCUCCAGUGAAUGGUGUUUCAUUGGCGUGGGGGGACUGGUCACCGUGCAGUGUAACAUGUGGGAGCGGAUCCAGGGUGAGAGCAAGGGCCUGCAACCCCCCACAGUAUGUACUGUACUGAACCGUUGUUUGAAAUAAAUAGCUGUCUACAAGUUCCAUGUCAAACUCCACCAGCAGGUGUUGCUUGCCCCCCUUGUACCGAGGAUCUAGAGUGUACAUGGAACACCACAUGCCAUGUAUCGGAGAACUGUAUGGUCCGAUCUAUCUCUGUUACAAGAUUCAAUUUUACCACGCACUGC